UAACGCGAAGAACCCUACCAGGUCUUGACAUCUUCUGCUAACCUAAGAGAUUAGGCGUUCCCUUCGGGGACGGAAUGACAGGUGGUGCAUGGUUGUCGUCAGCUCGUGUCGUGAGAUGUUGGGUUAAGUCCCGCAACGAGCGCAACCCUUAUUGUCAGUUGCCAGCAUUUAGUUGGGCACUCUGGCGAGACUGCCGGUGAUAAACCGGAGGAAGGCGGGGAUGACGUCAAAUCAUCAUGCCCCUUAUGACCUGGGCUACACACGUGCUACAAUGGGUGGUACAACGAGCAGCGAGACCGCGAGGUCAAGCGAAUCUCUAAAAACCAUCCUCAGUUCGGAUUGUAGGCUGCAACUCGCCUACAUGAAGCUGGAAUCGCUAGUAAUCGCGGAUCAGC
rnacentral:rRNA from 1 species